rnacentral:rRNA from 1 species
GACGGAGGAUGCAAGUGUUAUCCGGAAUCACUGGGCGUAAAGCGUCUGUAGGUGGUUCAAUAAGUCAACUGUUAAAUCUUGAGGCUCAACUUUCAAAAAUCGCAGUCGAAAACUAUUUGGGACUCGAGUAUAGUAGGGGUAAAGGGGAAAUUUCCCGGGUGGGAGCGGGUGAAAUGCGUAGAGGAUCGGGAAAGAACACCCAAACGG